UCGUCACACUAUCAUUAACUGAAUCCAUAGGUUAAUGAGGCGAACCGGGGGAACUGAAACAUCUAAGUACCCCGAGGAAAAGAAAUCAACCGAGAUUCCCCCAGUAGCGGCGAGCGAACGGGGAGGAGCCCAGAGCCUGAAUCAGCAUGUGUGUUAGUGGAAGCGUCUGGAAAGGCGCGCGAUACAGGGUGACAGCCCCGUACACAAAAGCGCAUGUGCUGUGAGCUCGAUGAGUAGGGCGGGACACGUGGUAUCCUGUCUGAAUAUGGGGGGACCAUCCUCCAAGGCUAAAUACUCCUGACUGACCGAUAGUGAACCAGUACCGUGAGGGAAAGGCGAAAAGAACCCCGGCGAGGGGAGUGAAAAAGAACCUGAAACCGUGUACGUACAAGCAGUGGGAGCACAGGUUUACCUGUGUGACUGCGUACCUUUUGUAUAAUGGGUCAGCGACUUAUAUUCUGUAGCAAGGUUAACCGAAUAGGGGAGCCG
rnacentral:rRNA from 1 species